rnacentral:rRNA from 1 species
UACGAAGGGGGCGAGCGUUUGUUCGGAUUUACUGGGCGUAAAGGGCGCGUAGGUGGCCCGGUCAGUUCGUGGUGAAAGCGCGGGGCUCAACUCCGCGUCGGCCAUGAAUACUGCUGGGCUUGAGCACUGUAGAGGCAGGCGGAAUUCCGGGUGUAGCGGUGGAAUGCGUAGAGAUCCGGAAGAACACCGGUGGCGAAGGCGGCCUGCUGGGCAGUAGCUGACACUGAGGCGCGACAGCGUGGGGGAGCAAACAGG